UAUGAGUGUGGAUCUAAGUCUUUGCCGUCU
rnacentral:piRNA from 1 species